AGCAAAGGAAAGAUCUUACACAAAAUAAGAAAUAUCAGAGCUCUACACAGCAUAGCACCACAAAGAAAAAGGGGAGAUUUAUUAUUUUAAACGAAAAAACUGAAGAUCGCACACGUCACAAAAUUUUGGUAACUGGUUAAUAUAACAUGUGCUCUUUUUUGAAUGUUCUUUGUUGGAAAGUUUGGAUUUAAAGUUUUCUCACUGGUUGUAAAUUGGCAUUGUAGAAGUGUGGGGACGACAUGAAUUCAGCAUGAACUCUGUAUAGUUUUUACAUAAUUAAAGGAAAAUAGAAAGUGA